GACGAACCGUGCGAACGUUUAUUCGGAAUCACUGGGCUUAAAGCGCGUGUAGGCGGGUGGGAACGUCGGCCGCUGAAAUCCCCCGGCUCAACCGGGGAAGGGGCGCCGAAACGGCCCGCCUGGAGGGACGUAGGGGGAGCUGGAACUUCCGGUGGAGCGGUGAAAUGCGUUGAGAUCGGAAGGAACGCCCGUGGCGAAAGCGAGCUCCUGGACGUUUUCUGACGCUGAGACGCGAAAGCCAGGGGAGCGGAACGGGG
rnacentral:rRNA from 1 species